rnacentral:ncRNA from 1 species
AGUUGAAAAAGGUAAACCAUUCGUAAGGGUGGGGCACAAAGCUAGAGGGUCCUGUACCGUACGGUACAGGACAGCCAGUUGCCGCU